AUGCAGGAAGGGCUGGUACUGGUGAAGAACAGGCAUUGCAAAUCUGCCAAAAUUAGCAGCGUUUGUGAUAAAGGCGCCGCUAAAAACCAUCACUUUUAGCGACGCUUUUCCCACAAACGCCGCAAAUUUUUGCAGCCUUUCCUAUAGCGGCUGUAACUGGCCCAAUUUACCGGCCCGUUAUAAACCAAAAAAAUCAUGAUAAAACCAAAUAAAAUAUAAAGUCCAAUUUUAAACAAUCCCUUAACAGCUCAGUUACAAAACCCAAUUACGUUGACCCAAUACGGCCUAAAAAAAAAACCUAAAACCUAGCCCAAAAUUACACGGCCCGACAAGCCCAAAAAGUUAAACACUCAGAACCCUAGGGCUUCUGCUAGGCGCCGCAGUAGCCACCAAGCAGCCCUUCGUCCUCACCGCCAGCGCAGCACCGUACGACCACCUAGUGCCUCCGUACCUGCGAACCAAUGCAAACACAACAACAAAAAAAGAAAAAUAGGACAAAAAAGAUUGUAUUUUUCUUUAUUGUAUUUUUCUUAUUUGGCUAUAAAGCCAUUUUUCAUUUUCGAUUGUAAGGGGGAUUACAGAUGCAUAUUGGAAUACAAAAAAUCAAUUAAAAUUAGCAGAAGGUUGCGUUUUUUUUUAGUUUAUCUUGCUUUCGUUUGAUUUCAAGGGUGGAUUUACUUUGUUUGAUUUCAAGGGUGGAUUUACUUUGUGAUUGCAAAAAAAAUAUAAACGGAGGUAUUGAAACGCUUUUCGUUUUCAUAGAUCGAUCCCUCUUAUUUUCUAAAAUAGAUUUCAAAUGAUUUUCAUCUAGAUCUUUUUUAUCUUCUUCUAUUUUUGUUAAUGUAUAAAAAUAGAGAGAGGAGGGAAAGGGAAUACGCUUACCAGGCCUGCGUACGCGCUGUAAGCCACCAGAAGUGGAGAUGGUCCGGCGGCAACAUGAGGUUUGGGUGAAACCCUAGCAGAGAAGGUUAAGAAGUUAAAGUUUUUUUUUUAAAACAAAAGGUUUUGUUAUGAAAAAAAUUAAAUAAUAAGGAAAGAUUAAGGAAAAUUUGAAGCGCCACCAUGGGGGAAAGAGCCUGCGCAUUGACCCAGUGCGCAUUUCCACCCUAAAUGGGUAAUUUUGCAUGGCCAGUCCCUAUUAUUUGCGCAACCUUUAAUUUAACCCUAUUCUGUUUCUUUUAUUUUUUCCUUGAAAUUUGCGCACCACUUCACUUUAGUCCACUCUUGGGUGCUGUUUUUUUGGGUUAGGAACAUUUCGUUUUUAGUACUCGCACAUUCACGCGCAUUGCACUUUGGUCUUUAUUUCUAUUUUACUAGUUUAUUUUAUUUAUUAAUUAUCCCUUUAGUCUGAUUUUAUUUCAAUUGAGUUUUUUUUUCCUUUCACUUAAAUUUGUAUAGUUCAUUAUUUUUUAAUUCAUUUAGCAUUCAUCUUUUAAUUUUUUUAUAUAUAUACAUUUUAAAUUACUUUGAUAAUUUACUUUGUUUUUUAUUUUUGUUUAAAUUAUAAAACUAUUAUUUUAAAAUUACCUUGUAAAUCAUAUUGCUUCUAAAAUUUUGUAUAAUAUUUAAUUUAAAUUAAUCUUAUAUUAAUACAUAUAUGAUUUAUGACAAAAUUCACUUAUUUUAUAUACAUUAUUAGUUCCAUGUUAUUUUACAUAUAUAAUUUCUUUUAAAUUUAUUUAUUUGUAUUUCCUUUCAAAUUUAUUACGUAUAUAGUUUAUUCUUUAAAAAAUAUGUUUUAUUAUUUCUUUGUUAUUUAAGAUUAUUUCAUGUAUAUAUUGUUUUAUUAUAUAUUGAUUUGUUAUUUUGUCAUGUAUAUUCUUUAUUCUUUAUUUUUAUUAUAUCUUCAUUAUAUAUUGUUUACAUUGAUUUUUAUUAUUGUAUGUAUAUCAUCACCUUUAAAUAGAUAUGUUUUGUUUUUAAAAUAUUUUGUAUGUUAUUUGCUCCAAAUUUCUUCUUCUACAAUAUUUAUUUUAAUCUUCAUUUACAUAUUCUUAGUUUUGUUUUAUAUAUGUAAAUCAUUUCAAAUCCUAGCAUGCAUGAUUCAUUUGUAAGUUUUUCAUAUAGUUUUUAAAUUGUUUUGCAGCUCUUAGUGUCUAUAUUUACUUUGUAUAUUAUGUGUGGCGUUUUAUCUUUCAUAUUAUUUUUCUAUAUUAUUAUCGUAUAUUGUUUAUUCAUUUUUUUGUAUUAUUAAAUCAAUUGUUGUUCACCCAUGCUUGUAAAUUUUGUUGUUUUAAAUUAAUUGUUUGUUUGAUUUGAUUGAUUAAAUAAGGUUAUGUUAUCUGCCCUAAUCAAAUAUUGUACGUUAUUCAUGCAUAUUAACCCAUAUUCAUUACUUCUUUUCCUCUUGAUUUACAAAAUGUUGUUUCGUGGUUUUUAACUCUUUGAAAUCAAUUAUUCCAUUUUAUUUCCAAUAAGAUCAAUGUGUUUCGAAAUAAUUUACAACCGUUUAUUUAAAUUCCUUGUUAAAAGCAAGGCAAUAUGCAAUAUUUGGAAAUUCGAGAAAUCGUGCCCUAUCGUGCUGGGUUUUGAUUUUUUUUUUGGACUAAAUAUCUGGAUAUCCUUUUAUAAUUUUUAACCUAAAAGCUUUUGGAAGUCAAGAAUUAAUCGUGGUUUCAAAGGUAUAUAGGAUCGUGUCCUAUCUUGCUGGAUGUGAUGUUGAAUUCUUUUGAAUCAAGAGAAUCUUGACGUCCAAUUUGAGUCAUUCAAAUGUUUUAAAAGAAAUCGUGUUUCAAAACAUUUUUAAAGACAUAAGGACAUUAUUUAAUCAAUAUGGUACUGAUUUUGGGCGUAGCGGGGGUGCUAAUCCUUCCUCGUACGUAACUGACUCCCGAACCCUUUUUCUCUAAUUUCGUAGGUCAAAAUUGAUUUUGUAAUACAAUAAAAUGUUUUAUUAGGUGACCGGAUUACACCUAAAUAAAAAAGGAUUGGUGGCGACUCCACAUUUCGUUUUAAAAGUCGAUCCCGUUUUUUCUUCAAAUCAAAAAAUGAUUUCGAUAGCGGCGUUUUUUGUGGCGCUUGUGAAAACGCCGCAAAUAGCUAAAGAAAGCACCGCUAAAAGUCUAUUUUCUUGUAGUGUAUUGAAUUCGUAAAUUCGAUCAUAUGUGUUGAUUUAUGGAGUUUAAAUAUUAGGUUAUUGUGAUAAUAUAAUGUAUCUUUCGAAUUUGGAUAUAUAGGUAAGUAUUUAUGUGGUAUUAUAUUUGAUCUUGAAUAUUCGGCCAAGGUAAAUUAUUUGAGUUAAAGUAUAUCUUUGAUGGUACAUUUCGGCUUGUAUAAAAUGUUUUGAUCAUUCAUUUAAGCUAUUUAAUUUACUUAAAGCUUACUAAACUAAGUUAGCUUACUCUGUAUGUUUCGUUAUUCUGUUUUAUAGAUUUUGGUUGUAAGUUAUGAGCUCGGGGAUCGUGAUCGAAGUCAUCCACACUAUCGUCAACUUUCGGUAUUUUUAAAAGUUCAUCUUCGAACUUUUGGCAUGUAUAGGCUAAUUUGUAUUUUGUUCGACCUUGAAUAUGUAUAACUUUAGCCAUGCGAAAAUGGUUUAAUUUCUAUGAUAAAUUCGUUCAUACUUGGAUAUAGUUUGAG
rnacentral:lncRNA from 1 species